UACGAAGGGGCUAGCGUUGCUCGGAAUCACUAGGGCGUAAAGGGUGCGUAGGCGGGUCUUUAAGUCAGGGGUGAAAUCCUGGGAGCUCAACUCCAGAACUGCCUUGAUACUGAAGAUCUUGAGUUCGGGAGAGGUGAGUGGAACUGCGAGUGUAGAGGUGAAAUUCGUAGAUAUUCGCAAGAACACCAGUGGCGAAGGCGGCUCACUGGCCCGGUAUAGACGCUGAGG
rnacentral:rRNA from 1 species